AAUUUGUUCAGUGUUAGGAAGUUUAGCGUCACUUUUGCUCGAGUCUUGCUGUUCAGAAGAUGUGGUCUGAUCCAGUGCUGGGUCAUAUUGCAGAUCAUGGAAGUAGAGGACCUGAACAACAGGAGUGACGAUAUGACCAAAUGAUAGCCUGGUGAUGUACUACCAUAGGUAAUGUUUGCUUUUCUUUUCUAAAGGUGACGACAAAUUUGAAUUAUGAAACCAUUAAAUUUGUUUUACAAAAAUUAAAAACAAAAAACUAAAACAAAAACCACCUAAAAUUAAACAUUACUACACUGUAUAAAAUCAAAUAAAAUAAAAAUAAAUAAAUCGAAUAAAUAAAAACUAAACAGAUAAAUCAAUUUUUAAUAUAAUUAGGUCAAUCAACUGAAUAAAAGAUCAAAAUAAAACUGUAUAAAAUAACACAAUAAAAAUAAAUGAAUAAAAUAAAUGAAAACUAAACAGAUAAAUAACCAAAAUAAACAUCAAUAAUGAUGAAAUGAAAAUAAAAACAUCACAAUAAAAAUCACUGAAAAUAAAAUCAAUUAAAAUUAAAUAAUAAAAUCUAAAGGGAUUAUGGAACCUACAGAACCUAAAUUAGAAGAAUGGCGUUGGCUCUUCCCCCCCCCCCC